GUGCCAGCAGCCGCGGUAAUACGGAGGGUGCAAGCGUUAUCCGGAAUCACUGGGUUUAAAGGGUGCGUAGGCGGAUUUUCAAGUCAGAGGUGAAAGCUUCCCGCUCAACGGGAAAAUGGCCUUUGAUACUGUUAAUCUUGAGUACAGUUGAGGUGGGCGGAAUGUGUGGUGUAGCGGUGAAAUGCUUAGAUAUCACACAGAACACCGAUUGCGAAGGCAGCUCACUAAACUGUUACUGACGCUGAGGCACGAAAGCGUGGGGAGCAAACAGGAUUAGAAACCCCCGUAGUCC
rnacentral:rRNA from 1 species